rnacentral:rRNA from 1 species
GGAGGGUGCAAGCGUUAAUCGGAAUUACUGGGCGUAAAGCGCACGCAGGCGGUCUGUCAAGUCGGAUGUGAAAUCCCCGGGCUCAACCUGGGAACUGCAUUCGAAACUGGCAGGCUGGAGUCUUGUAGAGGGGGGUAGAAUUCCAGGUGUAGCGGUGAAAUGCGUAGAGAUCUGGAGGAAUACCGGUGGCGAAGGCGGCCCCCUGGACAAAGACUGACGCUCAGGUGCGAAAGCGUGGGGAGCAAACAGGAUUAGAUACCCUGGUAGUCCACGCUGUAAACGAUGUCGACUUGGAGGUUGUUCCCUUGAGGAGUGGCUUCCGGAGCUAACGCGUUAAGUCGACCGCCUGGGGAGUACGGCCGCAAGGUUAAAACUCAAAUGAAUUGACGGGGGCCCGCACAAGCGGUGGAGCAUGUGGUCUAAUUCGAUGCAACGCGAAGAACCUUACCUACUCUUGACAUCCACGGAAUUUGGCAGAGAUGCCUUAGUGCCUUCGGGAACCGUGAGACAGGUGC